UCUGUAGCGACUGCGGAGGACAUUAACGAGUUUUGAAAGCGGGAGCUUUGUUGCUGGUGCGGAGAAAAACGCGCAAGUGCACGGGCUUUUCGUGCUCAAUCCACUCAACCCCCUGUGCACCUAUGCGAAGUUAGUAGCCUUUUUCCCGUUCUAAUCUGGUUGUAAUGAGAGGGCUCGUUGCUUUAAUGCCCGAGUUCACUUGGCCGGAGAGGGGGGGAAGAGGGGCGAACGCUUUGACUUUUAUUACAAACCCAUUGUAAUGUCUUGUGGAAUGUAAUGCUCCUUGUGGGCGAAAUUGAAAUACAACUUUCAACAACGGAUCUCUUGGCUCUCGCAUCGAUGAAGAACGCAGCGAAAUGCGAUAAGUAAUGUGAAUUGCAGAAUUCAGUGAAUCAUCGAAUCUUUGAACGCACCUUGCGCCCCUUGGUAUUCCGAGGGGCAUGCCUGUUUGAGUGUCAUGUUAAUCUCAAACCCCAAGUCUUUCUUCAGUGAAGGACUCGGUUUGGUUUGGACUUGGAGGUUACUACUGCUGGCUCUGCUCUUGUGGUCGGCUCCUCUGAAAUGCAUUAGCUGGACUUUGGUUCGCAUUUACGGUGUAAUAGUAACAAAAAACUUGUUCGCCGGGUGCUUGCCUAACGAGUCUGCUUCUAAUUGCCCGUUACUGUAACUUGGGCAAGGUCCCUUUCGACCUUCAUGAACACUUGACCUCAAAUCAGUAGACACCCGAUUUU
rnacentral:rRNA from 1 species